rnacentral:rRNA from 1 species
CAGUCGCCACGGUAAUGCGUAGGGGGCAAGCGUUAUCCGGAAUUACUGGGUGUAAAGGGAGCGUAGACGGUUAAACAAGUCUGAAGUGAAAUGCCGGGGCUCAACCCCGGAGCUGCUUUGGGAACUGUAGAACUGGAGUGUCGGAGGGGUAAGCGGAAUUCCCAGUGUAGCGGUGAAAUGCGUAGAUAUUGGGAGGAACACCGGCGGCGAAGGCGGCUUACUGGACGACAACUGGCGUUGAGGCUCGAAGGCGUGGGUAGCAAACAGGAUUAGAUACCCCGGUAGUCCCUGUCUCUUAUAA